rnacentral:rRNA from 1 species
GCAUAUCAAUAAGCGGAGGAAAAGAAAAUAACAAUGAUUCCCUUAGUAACGGCGAGUGAAGGGGGAUAAGCUCAAAUUUUAAAUCUGCUAGGUCUUACCUAUCAGAGUUGUAAUUUGAAGAAGCGUUUUCCGCGUCUCGGUUGACCCAAAUCCUUUGGGAUAUGGUAUCAUGGAGGGUGAGAAUCCCGUUCGGUUGACCUUAUGACGCUUUACGAUACGUUUUCAAAGAGUCGAGUUGUUUGGGAUUGCAGCUCAAAAUGGGAGGUAAAUUUCUCCUAAGGCUAAAUAUUGGCGAGAGACCGAUAGCGAACAAGUACCGUGAGGGAAAGAUGAAAAGAACUUUGAAAAGAGAGUAAAAUAGUACGUGAAAUUGUUGAAAGGGAAACGAUUGAAGUCAGUCGUACCGACGGAAAAUCAGCUCUUUGAGUGCGGACUUGUGGGCUUACGUGAGUUUUAACACCUCGCUGUUUGCAACGUUCGUGUUUUUUGGGUGUACUUUUUCGUAUGGUUGGCCAAUAUCAGUUUUGAUCGCUAUAAAAUGACCGGCGGAAUGUAGCUUCGAUCUCGAUUGAAGUGUUAUAGCCUCUGGUAGAUGUGGUGAUUGGGACUGAGGAUUGCAACGAAUACCUUUUGGGCUAUCCGUCUGAUCUCUGAAGGUUGCUUAGGUGCCGAAAGCAUGCUUACGGUUAUUUAAGUUGACAGUCAAAAGGUUAGAACGUGAUUAUAUUCGUUAAGGAUGUUGACGUA